rnacentral:rRNA from 1 species
UGGAGAGCGCUCAGCCUAUACUGCAGUCGAGCGGACAGAUGGGAGCUUGCUCCCUGAUGUUAGCGGCGGACGGGUGAGUAACACGUGGGUAACCUGCCUGUAAGACUGGGAUAACUCCGGGAAACCGGGGCUAAUACCGGAUGGUUGUUUGAACCGCAUGGUUCAGACAUAAAAGGUGGCUUCGGCUACCACUUACAGAUGGACCCGCGGCGCAUUAGCUAGUUGGUGAGGUAACGGCUCACCAAGGCGACGAUGCGUAGCCGACCUGAGAGGGUGAUCGGCCACACUGGGACUGAGACACGGCCCAGACUCCUACGGGAGGCAGCAGUAGGGAAUCUUCCGCAAUGGACGAAAGUCUGACGGAGCAACGCCCCGUGAGUGAUGAAGGUUUUCGGAUCGUAAAGCUCUGUUGUUAGGGAAGAACAAGUGCCGUUCAAAUAGGGCGGCACCUUGACGGUACCUAACCAGAAAGCCACGGCUAACUACGUGCCAGCAGCCGCGGUAAUACGUAGGUGGCAAGCGUUGUCCGGAAUUAUUGGGCGUAAAGGGCUCGCAGGCGGUUUCUUAAGUCUGAUGUGAAAGCCCCCGGCUCAACCGGGGAGGGUCAUUGGAAACUGGGGAACUUGAGUGCAGAAGAGGAGAGUGGAAUUCCACGUGUAGCGGUGAAAUGCGUAGAGAUGUGGAGGAACACCAGUGGCGAAGGCGACUCUCUGGUCUGUAACUGACGCUGAGGAGCGAAA